AAAGCCUGUCAUUCCGCUGCUAAUCUCUCCUCCUCCUCAUCCUCCAUCUCCACCACCACCUCCGCCUCGUCCGCCUCCUCCUCCACCACCACCGUCAUCGCUGCGGAUGAUCACUCUUUGACUCCUGCUGCGGCUGCUGAUGCUUGUACUGCUGGCGGCGGUGGCAGCAGCAGCUCGGCCAGCAACACCAAGACAAGCAGCAACAGCUCACUUAGGUCACUCAACAGAGCCUCCUACAAGAUCUCCAAACCGCUAACCAGAAGCCCUAAUCCUGCAGCUGCAUCGACUGCUGCUGCUACUCCGGGUCCGGAGGCGGCGGCGGCGACGGGGGCGAGCGUUGGUAGCGGCGGGGGAGCUCCGCCGUACCAGCCGCAGCCGCCGGUGUACAACAUCGACAAGAACAACUUCCGCGACAUCGUCCAGAAGCUCACCGGGUCGCCUGCGCACCACCAGACCCGUCCCCCGCCUGCGGAGCUGCCGCCGCCACGUCCCCCCCUUGCCGUCCCACCCGUGGCCACGUCUGUCGCCGCCGCCCCCACCUCCCGCCUCCACCGCAUACGCCCGCCGCCGCUAGCCCACCUCGCCCCCCGCCUUCCGGCCCUCGCCCCGCCUCCGCCCCUGCCUGCCGUGGAACCCUGGACGCGGCCCCCGCUGUCACCUCUCCCACCACUCCCGACCGUCAGCGCCGCGGCAGAGUCACCGAUCUCGGCCUACAUGCGUCGC
rnacentral:lncRNA from 1 species